rnacentral:lncRNA from 1 species
GGAAGGCUUGCUGGAGAAGGAGGUCUCCUUCCCAGGGGCAGAGGGAGCAGGCCCUGAGGACAGCUCUGGAGCCUGCCAUCACUAAGGAGACAGUGCAGGGGGACCCAACAUCAGCUGACCCCUCCCCUCCUGAGCAGGCCCAAAGGACGAGAGCACAGAGCCUGAGAGCUUUGUGGAAUCAUCACCCCAGGGGCCCUGGAGUCUUCUGUCUCAUUAUCCAGCCAGAGCAGCAUCCUCUUCCCUGGGAGGUGUCCUUGACCCCAGAUAAAGGGACCCCCAGCACUACAUAGGCAGGCGCUGCCGCCCGCCUGCCCUGUAAGCAUGUCUGUCCCCUUUCAUGUCCAUCUCUGUCCCCAAGGUCAGCACAUAGUAAGCACUCAAAUACUGCUUUAGUGGGUAUAUCUAUUUCUGACUUGUCAAUGAGGGGUCUUCGGCUCAGACAUUCAGGAACUUGUCUGAAAGUACAGGGUUUCUUGCUGGCACAGUGGCAGUUGCCUGUGAUCUCAGCGACGCAGGCGUAUGGAGUAUCACAAGUUUGAGACCAGCCUCAAAAGGCUGGGGGCACUAAAGGAGUAGUUCAGUGCUAAAGCACCCCUGGGUUUAAUCCUUAGUAUGGAGAGAAAAAGAGCCCAGGUUUCUGGCUUGGCAUAGCCAGGGCUUGCCUCAGAGUCUUGCUCCAGGACUGACAGGAAAGCCUGUCCUCCCCCUGAGCUCUUUGUGUCCAGCCCUGGUGCUGUGGAUGGAGGUGGGCAGGCCAGGGCUGGGGCCUGGAUGCCGUGCCUGGCACUGGGUGGCUACAUGUACAGGUCUGAUCCUGCCAGCUCCCUGGGCCUGUCUACAGAGCAGGAACAGCUAUGAAUCAUUGCUCCCUAGGAGCCCAGCUCCCACUCAGGCCAGUUGCAGCCAAGGCCCUAGGACAGUCCUGCAGCUUGGGAUGGGCCCAGAGUUUGAACCACACCCUUGGGCAAGCUGGACCUGAUCUCCCAGGGCAGUGGGUGGAUGGCAGCAAGGCCUGCCCUGCUUCCUCCCUCCCACACUACUGCUCUGAGCCUUGGGAAAUAUGGAUAUGAAACCUCUUUGGAAACCUCAUGCCAAUGUGAGACUGACUGGGGCAAGUGCCAAGGCUGCUAUGUGUGGAGGGGUUUCCAGGCAAGGCAGAGUGGGCAGGGGCUUGGGAAUGCCAGCCUCCCUUCUGGAGCCUCUUCCUCCUCCUCCCUGUGGCCAGGGACUUUCAGCUUCUUCACGUUUACUCAUUCAGUGUCCUACAUUGGCCACAAAGUCUUGCAGCCGGCUCGGGAGGCCCAGAGCCCAGGAGGCCCAGAGCCCAGGUCUCAAGGAACUGCGUCCAGGGAGAUGGCCACAUCAGCCACCAGACACUAGUGGAGCUCUAAGCAGCACCCUAGUGUGAUAUGGUCCUAGGAUAGACCCUGCCCUUCUUCACCCAGAGGACUCAGCCGCUGGCCAGGCCCAGGGUCUUUCAGUGGCUGCUCUGGGCCAAACUGCAUCCCCUUAAGUCCCAGUGCCUCAGAGCAUGACCAUCUGGAGAUCAUUAGUGGGCCCUGCCCAAUCUGGUGUCCUCAUAAGAAGGGAAAAUUUCAACACACACAGAGACAUCAGGACAGGUGUACCCAGAAGAAGAUCCUUCUAAGAGGCAACAAGAGAAUGGCCAUCUGCAAGCCUUAGGACACCAGCCCUGCCAGCUCCUCGGUCUCGGACCUCCAGCCUCUGUGAACCAUGAGGCAUAAAACUCCGGCCUUUGAGCCACUGAGGCUGAAGGUGUGCUGUGGAACCCAGUUGGCGAUGGCAGAGGCCUUUCAGCCUGGGCACCAUCAUCCAGAGACUGGGUGGAGCGGGGCCUCCAGAGCAGCACCCUGCUUCUGCUCAGGAGGAGAGGGUGAGCUAAUGAAGGAUGUAUUUUCAGGGGAGGCACUUCCCGUAGUUGAGAUGGUUGGUGUUGGACAGGGUCAGGUCCUCUGUGGGGCCUGGUGUUGGACAGGGUCAGAUGCUGUGAGCCAUGACUGAACACAGCACCAGAAUGGAGGGAAGGAGGCUGCUUUGCCCAGAGCAGCUGCCAGACCUCCACUGUGUUGGGUCCCCUGGGGCCAACAGGAACCAGGUGUGAAGGCAACCGGCAGAGCAACAGCCAGCCAGUGGACAGUGUCAUGCCUGGAAGGCCUGCCUCUGCGUUAGGCUGCACCCAGCUCCCCCGAAGCCUCCAGCCACCUGGCUCACCGCUUCCCUGGAGGGCGUCUGUCUCCCAUGCUGGGCUCUGGCCAUGAUGCCCUUCCCACACGUCUGCCUGGGAGACCCUGCUCACUUCCUUAGCCACAUCUCCCCUUCAGCUUCAGAGGCCCCUGGCAGUGGGCUCCAGGGUGCUUCUGCCCGGCUGCCGCAGGGCGUCACCUUUGCCUGUGUCCCUGCAGCACAACCAGUGUCCCAGCCUGCUGCUGCCCUGGUGUGGGUGCAGCUGGAGCCUAGGCCUACAUGGGUGAGAGGCACCCUGAGCUGCAGCUAGACCAGUGGCCUGGCUUUAGCCCAGCAGCCCACAGCCCUGAUGAGUCAGACCCUGCCCAGCCUCCAUCACUUGAGCAGUCUAGAGACUGGGGACACUGGGGUGUCCAGCCUUGGCCAGCGCCCUCUGUCCCUAGUGUCCAGGGUCUCUCAUGUGGGCCUCCUGGACCCUGAGGUCCUCUCUAGGGAUAUACAUCACCACUUCAGAUUCACUAGUGUCCCACCCUUUGGGUCAUCCACACUAGAGGCUCCCUGGCCAACAGCAGCAGCAGCCAGCACUGUCCCUUCAGUGGCCUCUGACCUCCUUCUCCCCUCUCAUCCUGGUGCCCUGCCCUUGUGUCCUAGAACGAUACUGCUUGCUGAGCUCCCAGGCCUCCUUCAGCAGGACCAUUGGACAUCAGAAACUGGAAGACUUCUGUGGGGGCCUGACUCACCUCUGCCCAAGGCUGCCAGCCAUGCUGCCCUCUGCCUCUGCCUCCAGAAGGAGUCUUCAAGCACCUUCCGUCAAAGCCCACUGCCUGCAAGGAAUGUCCUGGGCCCUGAGAGGCCCGCACAUUUGGAGAGUGAGUUGAUGGUUACAGAAUGCACGUCCCUAUGCUGUUAGGUGAAGGGAGGAGAGUAAUUCGCUGGAAAUGGGUAGCUUUUUUCCUUUUUACAGACCGAAAAACUGAGAUCUUCAAAACUGAAUUGACCUGCCCAAGUUAUACAAAAAGGGAAUUAGAUGGGUGAGCACUGCAGGCUCUCUACCCCAGGUGGCAGGGGUCACACUGCCACAGGACUAUCUGACAUGAGAGGGCAGAAGGUGACAGCCGUCCAUCAGUGCCCUAGGCAGGCCUUGCUGCCUGGGGACUCUGUGGGACAUCCCUUCAGCCCUCAAUGGUGUGCAGGACAGUUCCACCUGAGCUGCUUUCACAGAAAUAGUUCUGCCCACCCUGACUUAUCCUGUGCAUCUGGGAAAGCCUGGGUCCAGGGUGGAGCGCAGGUGUUCCUCCUGGGGCAGUUGCCUGAGGGCAGAUCUGAGCUGGAAGGGCCAGUGAGGUAGGGCCAGGAAUCGGGCUUCUCAUGCACCUGGGGAGCUGGGGUAAUGCCAUACCCAGGGCUCCAAAGGCCAGCAGUGGCUCAGGUUUGUGAGAUCCCCAGAUCUGCUUCUGUGACCUCUGCAGUUGAGCACAGUCAGGAUGCCUGCUACUCUGCUAAGUAUUAGCUCAUGUAAUCCUCAGGUUUUACUAACUUCCAGGUAAAGAAAUAGUCCCUAAAGGUUAGGUGACUGGGCCAGGCAUAGGACUGGGAAGGAACAGAACUGUCAGGUUCAAAGCCUGCCUGCUUCACCACCUGCCAGCAUGUUGGCUCCCUGGGAAGCAUCCUAGGAUUGGACCAAUCUACUGUCCUCAGAGAAGGAUGUCUGCCCUGCACCAGCCCCUCACUAGGAAAGAGGCGUGUUCCUACUUGGUGAACUCAGGGCCCCUCAGGGCAGGAGGGAAGUACCUCCUUCCUGUCCUUGCAGCUAGAAGAAAGAUGGACAGCUUCAUGGGUCCAUGGUACACAGCAUUGUUAGAAGAGAAGAAAGACCAAAAGUACUGGCAGACACCUUGUGUAGAAAUGAGAAAACCUGCUUCAAACAAACUCGGGAACGUGGAGAUGAAUCCCUCUAAAGGAAGGACAGUCUUAGAGCAUACAAAACAACCUGUGUGCAGUCAACAAACUGCAAAUGGUAAGUAUUGGAUCCAAAAAUAAAAGCAAAAACUAACAACAAAUUAAAUAAUAAAACAACAAAAAAGCAAAAAAAAAAAUAUAUAUAUAUAUAUAAAUAUCAGGAAAAAAAGCAAAAAGCACCUCAAAAAUGGAUCCCAGGGUGAUCUUAGAGAUGUAUUGAAAUGGGCUCCCAAGAAGACCAAAGAAGACAAAAUGCCCUGGCCCCAAGAAAAACACACUCAAAGUGAUCCUGCAGUGAUGGUGGCAGAGAAGGAUGGUGCAAGGCUCCGAGAACCCCAGGGCCAACGGUGCCCCACCCCCACCUCACAGUUUGCCAGGAAGUGGGAGGGGAGCCUGAGGAGCCCAGAUGAGGGAGCAGGGAGCUCCCCUCCUCAGACAGGGAGCCUCCCGAGAACAGUGCUGACCCUGGAAACCAGGGGACCUUGCUCUGCACACCACCUUCUGCAGCCUAAGAUGCAGCUCAGGGCACCAGACUCCUUACCUCUUCCCUGAUCUCCCUCGAUGCUUCCUUCCCCGUUGUCACUGGGCCUAGAAAACCCUCCUGGUGUCCCCUUCCUGCCUCUGUGCCUAUCUGUCCACCCGUUGGCCUUUCCCAGUGGGCGGUCUUAGUCUAGCAGGGGGAGAGUGAGUGGUGAGCUGUCUGCACUCUGUACUGCAACCCUUCCCAGCUCCUGUGGGUCAACCUUGGGGUUGGCCUCCCCAGCUCUGGUCCUCUGGCCCCUGCCCCACCCUUGGGUGCCAAGUCCCUGCUCUUCUGGGAGUCUGACCUUGUCCUUCCAAGUGCUACAUGCCAUGUGCUGGGGAAGCAUGGGGACAGGUCGGCCUGCAUGCAGCCGGUGGGCCUGUGACAAGGUACGGAAGGGUGGAAGGUGAUGGUUGCAAACCAGAAGGCCCAAGGGGCCAGGGGCCUAGUCUUUCUCAUUUUUGGGUCCCUGGUGCCAACUCAGAGCCUGGAGAAUGGUAGAUACACAAUAAAAGAUUGUUGAAUGAA